AUUGAACGCUGGCGGCAGGCCUAACACAUGCAAGUCGAGCGGAUGAAGGGAGCUUGCUCCUGGAUUCAGCGGCGGACGGGUGAGUAAUGCCUAGGAAUCUGCCUGGUAGUGGGGGAUAACGUCCGGAAACGGGCGCUAAUACCGCAUACGUCCUGAGGGAGAACGUGGGGGAUCUUCGGACCUCACGCUAUCAGAUGAGCCUAGGUCGGAUUAGCUAGUUGGUGGGGUAAAGGCCUACCAAGGCGACGAUCCGUAACUGGUCUGAGAGGAUGAUCAGUCACACUGGAACUGAGACACGGUCCAGACUCCUACGGGUGGCAGCAGUGGGGAAUAUUGGACAAUGGGCGAAAGCCUGAUCCAGCCAUGGCGCGUGUGUGAAGAAGGUCUUCGGAUUGUAAAGCACUUUAAGUUGGGAGGAAGGGCAGUAAGUUAAUACCUUGCUGUUUUGACGUUACCAACAGAAUAAGCACCGGCUAACUACGUG
rnacentral:rRNA from 1 species